GACGAACGCUGGCGGCGUGCUUAACACAUGCAAGUCGAACGGAAAGGCCCUGCUUUUGUGGGGUGCUCGAGUGGCGAACGGGUGAGUAACACGUGAGUAACCUGCCCUUGACUUUGGGAUAACUUCAGGCAACUGGGGCUACUACCGGAUAGGAGCUCCUGCUGCAUGGUGGGGGUUGGAAAGUUUCGGCGGUUGGGGAUGGACUCGCGGCUUAUCAGCUUGUUGGUGGGGUAGUGGCUUACCAAGGCUUUGACGGGUAGCCGGCCUGAGAGGGUGACCGGCCACAUUGGGACUGAGAUACGGCCCAGACUCCUACGGGAGGCAGCAGUGGGGAAUAUUGCACAAUGGGCGGAAGCCUGAUGCAGCAACGCCGCGUGCGGGAUGACGGCCUUCGGGUUGUAAACCGCUUUCGCCUGUGACGAAGCGUGAGUGACGGUAAUGGGUAAAGAAGCACCGGCUAACUACGUG
rnacentral:rRNA from 1 species